rnacentral:lncRNA from 1 species
AAUGUACUAUGGCUGCGAAGUCGAUUGCUACAUUGAGUUUCCCGACAAAAUGGAAUGUAAAUUUAGGGGUCUGUCACCCUUGGUAUCAGAAAUUUCUCCAAAAACAUAGUCAUGAAUUGCGAGUGUUUAGUUCUUGGAAAUUUCAGACUUUUAACUUGAUAUCUGCAAGUAGAAACAGAAAGUAAACUACGAAUAUACUCUCCAUGGUUUACUUCUUGUGUGUACAGGACUGAAGCUUACAACUGUGCAAAAUGUUCUACUACGAAUGAAUGGACAGGAGCACCUGAUGUAUCUGGUGCAAAGAAACACAUGCUGAAUGGAUACUCUGAUCCUAACUCUGGAUCUAAUCAAUUUUUGUGGUUUGAGGUUUUCUUU